ACGGGCGGGUUUUGGCGGGUGGGUUUGGGCGGAUUUGCGGGUUUGCGGGUACAAUUGCCAUCCCUACCUUAGAUAUUAGAGUGCCAUAUAUCCCUCAAAUAUUAGAGUGUUAUACAAGAUUUAGUAGAUUUAACGUGAAUGAUUAGUUUUAAUAAUUAUUUGAUUGUAAAUAUCAGUAGUAACAUCGUAUAAUUCAAAAAAAAAAAAUAGUUGGACUCUAUUUUAUAUGUUUUACCAUGCAUAUUUUAGAAACUGUCCACCGAACAUAUAUCACAUUAGAAUUUUGAAAAUAAAAAUGAAAAUAGGUGUUAUGAAAUAAUAUCAAACGGGCCUUAAAACUCUAAAUUUUACCUACUAAUACUCAAUGAAAUAGAGAUAUAAAUAUCAUUUUGGUAUUAUUAUCAUUACUAUUUUUGUUUAUUUAGCAGCAUUGAAUAUAUCAAUGAAUCAUAUUUUUUAGGAUAUACGCAAUGAUAAAAUAAUUUUGAAGAAGUGAAUGAUUGAAGGUGUUUUAUUUAUUCAUUUCUGUUUGUACUGGUAUUACAAUCAAUUAUAGAAAAAACUAAAUUUGUAUGCCCACUCAAACGUUGCGUUCUACCUGGUGCAUCAUGUAUCAUGUUCUAUUACUUGUUAAUAAAGAAAUACGAACUACUUUAAAAUUUACUUCACAAAAUCAGUUUAUUUCAUCCCCCCCCCCCCCCCCCAACCCAAUAUUGAGUCAAAAAGAUUUAUUUUUUCUGUUGGGUGGCUGUAAUGCAAUCGAUUAAAUCCAGGGUAGUUUUGAUGUUAACGUUCGCAGCUCGGAGGUUUGAAGACUAUUCGCAAUUGGAUAUUCGAUGAGAGAUCUGGAAAUGCCAUUGGCGUUUCAUGUUAUAUGAUGCGCAAGUGAACUUAACAUCAUUAUGUGCACUCGAGAGAAUAUAAUAUUAGAAAAAUGAUUCGAAAUGGCAAAUGAAGUUAAAAAAAUUGGCAGUGUUUGUGGAAUGGCCUUUUCGUGGAGAAAUUGGAAGGGAAUCGAACAAUGAACAUGGCACAAAGAGACAAAACUUUCAACUCGUUCACUGUGCACAAAUAGUCUUUUGUCAAUUCAGCAUCACAUGAUGCUCCUUUGCCUUUAAGACCUAGCAAACUUUUUCAUGCCAACCCUAACUGUAUCUGACUGCUCUAGUGCUGCCCAAUUAAUUUUUAAGAAAUAUUUUUUUAAAUAAUGUUAGAAAUUUUAAUUUGUAUGUUAAUUAGAGUAUGUAACAUUCAUUUGUAAAAUGAUGUAAUAGUAAUUUUAUUGAUUAAGAAUUUUAUCAUUCAAAAAAUGAAUGAUACACAUAAAUGUUGAAAUUAUUAACAUUAUUAUUAUUUUUUUGGUUGUGAAUAUAUUAAUGGUGAAAGGAAUCUAGAAUAAUCUCCCACGCAAAAAUAAGAUUAGAUUUAUUCAAGAAUGUAAAACUAAUUAUAUCUAUUAACAAUUUCAUGGAACAUAUAAUUCUUCUUUUCUAAAAACAAAUUUGUAUUCUUGUUUUUUUUUUUUUAAUUUCAAAAACAUUGACGAAAAUAAAGUUUUAACAAGAAUAUAAUUAACAAGGCUCCUGCUCAGUGAUAACUAGUGGUGCUGAUUCGAGUCCUUCAUGUGGGAAACUCAACAUAUUUUUCCUGUCACCCGUUGUGGUUAAAAGUAGAUAUCUCACUAAAUACGCGAGUAGAUAUCUUGCAAAUAGUUUAUGUUGAUUUUCGAUUAUGACCUUGGUAAACUUCUACCAUAAGCGUAUCAAUACAAAUUUCUAGUGGAUCCCAAGUUGUAAUAUAUAUCUAGCUUUAUAACAAUUUAAAAAGAAAAACAAGAACAUUGAGAAAUGAUUAAACGUUGCCCAUGCUAAAAUAAUAAAUCAUUAUGCCACGAAUAUUUACCCUUUAGGUUAGGUUAGAUUAGAUUAUACUAGAUAUAUAAUCU
rnacentral:lncRNA from 1 species